CGUUUGCCACAGAAACAGGUGUUAAAGAAAUAAAAAGCAGAAACGAUUUUUCACAUUUCAAAUUUCAAAUAUGGAGGACGAAAAUAAUUUAGAAAUUCAAACUCGAAUAAUCAAGCGAGUGUGGAAAAUGAAAGCAAAAUGGACAGUGGAAGAGACCGAGCGGCUGAUCCAAGAAGUAGAGUCCAGGGAAGGCACAUGUAAUUUUCUUUCCAUGAUUAUAGAGAUCGAAAUUUGCGAGAGGCUCAGUGGCAUGAAGUAGCAGACAUAUUAAAUAUUCCACGAUCAGAAGUAGCAGCCAAAUGGAACAGCCUUUGCUGCUCUUUUCGCGCGGCCUUCAACCGAAAGUCACAUACAAAAAGUGGUCAAGGGGCUGGAAGAACACCUACAAUGAACCCACUUUUUAAUUCUUUAAGGUUCCUGGAGCCCACCUUGCGUGUUGAAGAGAACACGACAUCAAAUUUAUUUAAUGCAAGUAUACGUCUGUAAAAAUAAUGCUACUUGUUUUUACAGGACAACGGGUGACCCCUCAAACAAUAUUGUUUGAGGCGCAAGAUACAAGUUUAUCUGGCGAAAUGCAACCAACGCCAUCCACUUCAAUCAAUUUAGGGAGAGGUCGAGCUCAAAAAGAUGAUGAUGAGUAUAUUCAAGUGGUGGAACGUGCACUGGAGACCCUCACAUCAGCUACCAAAAGUGACGCUUGGGAUGAUUUAGUAAAUUUUGUAUCAUCCAAUGGCCGAGAGUGGGCCCAAGAAUCUCCACAACUGGCCAAAGAAUUUAUGCGGGAUAUAUGUGAGUUGAUAUUCAAGU